rnacentral:rRNA from 1 species
UACGUAGGGUGCAAGCGUUGUCCGGAAUUAUUGGGCGGAAAGAGCUCGUAGGCGGUCUGUCGCGUCUGGUGUGAAAAUCCAGGGCUUAACCCUGGACCUGCAUCGGGUACGGGCAGACUAGAGUGCGGUAGGGGAGAUCGGAAUUCCUGGUGUAGCGGUGAAAUGCGCAGAUAUCAGGAGGAACACCGGUGGCGAAGGCGGAUCUCUGGGCCGUAACUGACGCUGAGGAGCGAAAGCAUGGGGAGCGAACAGG